UCAGCCCACUGAUUGCUUGAUGCCGCCGCCGCCGGCGUCGCUCACCGCCGGGGCCGCCGCGAUCGCCCUCCCCCGACCUCGCCAACACCCUGCGGCGGCGCCGGCGGAGCGUCUUCAGCCGACCGGGUGGGAUCAGCCGGCUGGGGCGCCGCGUGCUCCGCCGACGGCUCUCCCCCGCUUCCUCCUCGGUGACCCUCCUCCCCUUCCUCACCAGUCUCCUCGCAGCCCCAAACCCUCUCUACGUCUCGCUCAACGACGCGCAAUCUCCGUAAAGGUUGCUUCGCCAGGCGUUGCCUCAGAAAUCUUCAUCAGCGUUUGGAUGCAAAAGCAUGCUUCUGUGCAAACCUUCCCCCCCGUUCAUGGGUCCUCAGAUCAUGAAUUAGGCCAUGGAUGCACCGAUUCAUACAUUGUCGACAAAUAUGCCGGAUGAGGGAAGCCUUAAUCUUGAAAGCAGGAACAUGUUGUCUGCAUGCAAUUGGUACGAAGGGCUAGCCUUGUUUGAACCAGAUAAUUCUGGGCAUCAAAUUCUGAAGUCGAGGCUUCACUUGUUUUUGGUGUCAGUAUUAGAGUUUGUGGAUGGGGAGCUUUGGCUACUAAACCAUCAAGCCAGCUCCAUUGAGCAUUGUUGGUGUCAUAUUGCUAUAGUUGUGAUGUUCGUUUCUUGGAACAAUGAUUAUGAUUGGUGUCUAAAACGUGGCUUGGAAUGCAGAUCUGGAAGCUGGAAUGCUACAAUCCGAUAGGAUUUCUGGCCGGGACUAUGCAAUGACUGGUUAACAGAUAAGUACAAAGAACGAUAAGAAUUCCCAGUAGGAUGGAGCUGCGACGAAGUAACUGAUGAUCAGAAUUUGGAUAAGGAAAUUGCGUGUGGAAAUCUGCUACCAGGCCGGAUGGAGCUGCAUCCUUGCAUAAACCAGAUGUGUUAUCCAAGAUCAACACAUCCACAUGUGUAUAUUCUUUGCCUUGCUGACCCUAUCAUUCAUACUUGGGCAUGUGCUGCUACAUUAAAAAAAAUGGGUGUAGUUGUUGUGUACUGGUGCAUGGGAUAAGAGGUCUUAGGUGUUGAAAUCUGUCGUCAGAGCAGUCUAAAGUGGAUCUAGCCGUAAUAGAUGUGAUCUGUUGUCAAUAUUGCAUAAUAGAGUUUUACUCCCAUCCUUCCUUUUGUACCUCGAGGUACCAAAUCGUUUCUCACCAU